rnacentral:rRNA from 2 species
GGAUGGRWAAUUUGGGCAGAGAUGCCUUAGUGCCUUCGGGAACCGUGAGACAGGUGCUGCAUGGCUGUCGUCAGCUGAGAGGKGAAAUGUUGGGUUAAGUCCCGCAACGAGCGCAACCCUUAUCCUWUGUUGCCAGCGGUCCGGCCGGGAACUCAAAGGAGACUGCCAGUGAUAAACUGGAGGAAGGUGGGGAUGACGUCAAGUCAUCAUGGCCCUUACGACCAGGGCUACACACGUGCUACAAUGGCAUAUACAAAGAGAAGCGACCUCGCGAGAGCAAGCGGACCUCAUAAAGUAUGUCGUAGUCCGGAUUGGAGUCUGCAACUCGACUCCAUGAAGUCGGAAUCGCUAGUAAUCGUGGAUCAGAAUGCCACGGUGAAUACGUUCCCGGGUCUUGUACACACCGAA